rnacentral:tRNA from 1 species
AGGGAGUUAGCUCAGUUGGUAGAGCGCGUCCCUUACAAGGACGAUGUCGCAGGUUCGACUCCUGUACUCCCUA